ensembl:lncRNA
GAUUUAUUCAGAGAUGCUCACUAGGUAAAUUUUCCUCAUUAGUGAGUCUUCAGCAUCCUAUAACCAUGUUCCAAAAAGUAGGUAUUGUAUUUAAAUACCAAUGUGUUUAUGUAGACUUUUAUUCAUAACCUAGAUGUCCUCUAGUGGAACUAGAGCAUUUACCCACUGAGCAUCUCCAAAUAGUCAACCCAGACUAAUUUUAAAGUUACAGUAUAUUGAGAUACAAACUUAAAAUGGACUAUUCAACUCUUCCUGACAUGUUACAGGUGUUAUCAUUGUUCUAAGACUAGAUUUGUGUGAUGAGUAUACUUUGGAUUCAAACGUGUGGUGACUGUUUAAACCGCCGCCAUAUAAACAUUUAACUGAUGUAAUAUGAUGUGGGUCUGUUAUAAUGAAUCAUGAAGGAUUUCAUUAUUAUUUAUUAUAAAAGUCUCUGCCAAUGGCACGGUUUGAUCUUCUAUUCUGCAGUCGGUUUUCCAAGAGGACAGGGUAGGUCGAGGUUACGUUCCAUGUAUACAUUUCAAUUAAACGCAGCUUACUUUAUCUAGCACUAGCUAAAAUGGUGAAAUAAAUGGAGAUCUACUCUCUGGUUUGAUGUUACUGGAAAGGUGAGUUGACAAUGACAAGAAAAUGAAUUCUGGGCUUACAGUAGAAGCUUCCGUCAACACUAGGAGGCAAUGUUUCCCCACAUCAAUAAUGGCAAAAUACUUAAUAUCUCUCACUUCAUAUGGGUCAGAUGAAGGGAUGCUCUAGUAGUGGUUUUAAUACAGAGGAAGAACUAUCUGCAAUCUCUGAAGACGCUCAGUUUAUGGUUUUCGAAGACAUCUGCUCAUCUGAGCGAGUCUGACAGCAAAGACAAAAUGUAGAGGAAAUGUGACAGUUGUCCAGAGACAGAAUGUUGUGCAGUAAAAAGGUCAGAGUCAAUGCACAAUGUAGGUUUUCUAAAAUCUUUAAUGAGCAUUCCCAUUUCCUGUACGACACCUACAUAUUAAACUGAAGUUGAUCAUAAUAGAAAUAUAUUUAAACUUUUUUUUUAUUGCUCAUUUUAAAUGCAAUCAAACUGCACAUACCAGAACCAUCUACCAAAUAAAAAAUAAAUACAUCUCUUAAGGGUUAUUGCUUGUGCUUCUUUAACUGGUAUGAGUUUGACUCAUGUUUCCUUCAGCAUUUCUAUGGUAAAGAGGGAGAUCUUACCACAAGAAUGUGAAGAGCGCAAACUGGCCACCUUAGUCCCCAGUCACUCGACUGACGUCUAUAUGCCCUUCCAGACAGCCAUACAAAGAAAAAGCAGUGGGGCGCAUAUAAAUAUAACCAUGUUGUACGAGUCCACUUUUUUGCCAGUUUACAUCAGCGGUGCAUGAUACAAAACGAUACAGCAGUGGAUCUACAAACAUAAGUUGUACAAAUCAUUUUUGUGCCAGUUUCCCUAUGAAUUAGCACUCAGCCAUACAAAAGGAUACAGCAGUGAAUCUUCUACAAAUACCAAGUUGUAUAUAUCCACUUUGUGCCGGUUGAUGUCAGCAGUACCUCAAACAUCUGUGGUUUUUAUUUUCAAGUGUCUCUGUGUCUCCGCACUGAGGAGGGUACUGAUUACUGAACCACUGUAAUGAUACGGUGGCGUUCCAGUUCUCCUUAGGAUGACAGCAUACAGUGAGAGCAUGGCCGUGACUGGAGACGCCUCCUUCAAAGACAAAGGCUAUUGUGUGCCAUGCCGGUGACAUCUCUCUGAGAAACCUUGAGGACCACAAUAAACGAGAACAAUGUGUGUGGUCUUUGAACCUACCUAAACAAAGCAACACGUUCAGCUGCGACCUGGCAGUUAGACUUCAUAACACUCCAGUUUCAAUGAGAAAUGCUUCAAGGAUUUUUCAGAAUGGGUUAUUUGUUCAUUAAGUUCAACAACGGAGCACUUUCAUUUUCUCCAUUUCAUGGUCUUCACGGUCAGUACCAGGACGUUCCUAAAAAGUCUGACUGUAUAGAGAUGACCUGUUUUAACAUUUCUUUUUAUUCCACUGCAUAAUCACAUUUCCCCCCCAUCCACAUACUGUCCUAUACCCAUAUCACUUGCCUAACCAAAACUAUUUUCUCAUCCUUUCUGUCUUAGCUCCAUACCAUUUUCUCAUAAUCAAACCAAUCUAUUCUCUUUCAAAUCCAAAAGUCCAUCUCUAAUUACUUUUCUAAACCUUCCAUGCAUAAAUAGCAAUCACCACUUCAUAACCAAAGCAAAUGUCCAUUUCAUGUCACCUGUGGCCAAAACAAUACAGCAUUUUGUUGAAAAUUGACAACAAUAGUAUAACCCAAUCAAUACUGCAACCCGUAUCUUCUUAAUGAACCCAUCUAAUUCCAGUUAAAACAGCACAUGGACACACUGGGUACAUGAACUUUUAAACAAAACAGCUUUGAGAGGUGCCAUCAAUACUAUAUCCAAUGCAACCAGUAUCUCAACAAACCCAUCUGAAUCCAGUUAAAGCAGCACAUACAGUACACACAUCUAAAUAUAAACAAAACACCAUCCCACUGUAUAAAUAC